AAACUACCAACAGGGGAGAUACUGUGAUCGUGAAGGUGGUCUUCCCAGGUAAGGCACAUCACAGGCUGACCUCUGUGAUGACCCCAAAUGUGGAGAGCUUGGGCUGCUUAGUUUGUGUCAUAGUGGGAGACUUGGUCCCUGUCCCCCCU
rnacentral:snRNA from 1 species